rnacentral:tRNA from 1 species
ACCUUGGUAGCUCAGUCAGUAUGGCCACGGACUUUUAAUCUGAGGACCCAGGUUUCAAGUCCCUGUUUAGGUG